GUCGCGAAUUUAAAGGAUCCCCUUUUUCUGUUUGUUCAGUAAGUGGAACCAAGGCUGACAGUAAAGAGUUACGGCAGUCCCAGUCCUACUGCACGGACACAGAAUGUCUUCAGGAAUUACCGGGACCCUCUGGUGAUAAUGGCAUCAGUGUUACAAUGAUCUUAGUGGCCUGGAUGGUUAUUGCAUUGAUCUUGUUCUUACUGAGACCUCCUAAUCUAAGAGGAUCCAACCUACCUGGAAAGCCAACCAGUCCUCAUAAUGGACAAGAUCCACCAGCUCCUCCUGUGGACUAACUUUGUGAUACGGGAAGUGAAAAUAGUUAACACCUUGCACGACCAAACGAACGAAGAUGACCAGAGUACUCUUAACCCCAUUAGAACUGUUUUUCCUUUUGUAUCCGCAAUAUGGGAUGGUAUUGUUUUCAUGAGCUUCUAGAAAUUUCACUUGCAAGUUUAUUUUUGCUUCCUGUGUUACUGCCAUUCCUAUUUACAGUAUAUUUGAGUGAAUGAUUAUAUUUUUAAAAAGUUACAUGGGGCUUUUUUGGUUGUCCUAAACUUACAAACAUUCCACUCAUUCUGUUUGUAACUGUGAUUAUAAUUUUUGUGAUAAUUUCUGGCCUGAUUGAAGGAAAUUU
rnacentral:sRNA from 1 species